UACGUAGGGACCAAGCGUUGUUCGGAUUUACUGGGCGUAAAGGGCUCGUAGGCGGCCAACUAAGUCAUACGUGAAAUCCCUCAGCUUAACUGGGGAACUGCGUGUGAUACUGGAUGGCUUGGAUUUGGGAGAGGGAUGCGGAAUUCCAGGUGCAGCGGUGAAAUGCGUAGAUAUCUGGAGGAACACCGGUGGCGAAGGCGGCAUCCUGGACCAAUAUUGACGCUGAGGAGCGAAAGCUAGGGGAGCAAACGGG
rnacentral:rRNA from 1 species